UGGGAUGUAGCUCAAUGGUAGAGUGCUUGCCUUAAUAGGAACAAGAAUCUGAGUUCAAUCUCCCAUCCCUG
rnacentral:tRNA from 1 species